AAAUUCAAGACGAUCCGACCGUUGGAACUCCGGGAAACGCAAAAACAAGGCAGCCAGCGCAACCAGAAAAUUUCCCGCGAAUUUUCACACAAUAUCUCUCUUUUUGCCUAUUUUCUCUCUUGCUUAUUUUCACAAAUAUCCUCCUAUAUUUAUAUAUAGGGUUCCCUUUAUUUUUAUCUCCUUGUGGGCCAAAACAAGGGUAAUCCUAUUGGGCUUUUAAU
rnacentral:lncRNA from 1 species